rnacentral:lncRNA from 1 species
AGAUGUUCAAGCUUCAAGACAUCUUAACAGCAAAGCACCACCAACAACAAGUAGCCAGAGCCUGAGGGGUCCUUUUCCGGAGGGACUAAAUGAAGUUCCAAGCCUGCUGGGCUUUAAGAUUUCUUAGUGAACUGAAGUUCCAUAGCUGCUGGCCUAUAAAGAAUCUUAGUGAUUCAGGGUGCUGCCCUUCCUUAGUGGAAUUCCUGUUUGCUGAAGCAGAAGAGUGG